rnacentral:rRNA from 1 species
AUUGAACGCUGGCGGCAGGCCUAACACAUGCAAUUCGAACGGGUGGCGGACGGGUGUGUAAUGUCUGGGAAACUGCCUCAUGGAGGGGGAUAACUAUUGGAAACGGUUGCUAAUCCGGCAUAGCAGCAGCUGUUCCCAGAUGGGAUUAGUUUGUUGGUGGGGUAAAGGGUCACCAAGGCGACGCUCCCUAGCUGGUCUGCGAGGGUGACCAGACACACUGGAACUGAGACACUGUGCAGACGCCUACAGUGGGCAGCAGUGGGGAAUAUUGCACAAUGGGCGAAAGGCUGAUGCAGACAUGCCGCGUGUAUGAAGGAGGCCUUCGGGUUGUAAAGUACUUUCAGCAGGGAGGCGUUACUCGCAGAAGAAGCACCGGCUAACUCCGUGCCAGCAGCCGCGGUAAUUC